CUCUGCACACACACACAGAGGAGAGAGAGGACUCAGGCUCUGACUGCCUGCCCACCAAGUGUGCCACACACUGGAGCUCACAAGCAGCAGAUGACUGGUCACAGCGCCCCUGGCCCCCUCCUGGACUGCACACCUGCCCUUCCCCGUGGAGGCGGUGAUGGGAGGAGGCCACUCGCUUCCCCCGUCACCAUCAGACGCUCACUCAACCAGACGCCCACUCACCCUCCACCUCAUUCAUCUUCUUUAGAGGCAAAUGGCAACUUUGGGUGAUUGCUGAAUUAAGAUGGGUGCCUGUGCCUUUUCUCCUGGCCCCUGCCUGGUCAGAGCACCUGAGUCUACUGCCCCAUCCCCCCUCUCAUAGGCCCCCUGCCAAAAUGAAACUCAUUUGACCUUGGGGGGGUUUAAGGGAGGUGACAGAGAGAAGCCUUUGAAAAUGUUCAGUCAGCCUCACUAUGGUCAUUCUGGCAGCUGGGCUGCGCCAUCAUUUUCUGCCAGACAAGGCCUUUCAGAAAACCAAC